GGGGGAUGCGAGCGUUAUCCGGAUUUAUUGGGUUUAAAGGGCGCGUAGGCGGGACGGCAAGUCAGCGGUAAAAGACUGCAGCUAAACUGUAGCACGCCGUUGAAACUGUCGACCUGGAGACGAGACGAGGGAGGCGGAACAAGUGAAGUAGCGGUGAAAUGCAUAGAUAUCACUUGGAACCCCGAUAGCGAAGGCAGCUUCCCAGGCUCGGUCUGACGCUGAUGCGCGAGAGCGUGGGUAGCGAACAGGAUUAGAUACCCUGGUAGUCCACGCCGUAAACGAUGUUCACUGGAUCUUGGCGAUACUCGGCCAGGGUUUAAGCGAAAGUAUUAAGUGAGCCACCUGGGGAGU
rnacentral:rRNA from 1 species